UUAAUCCUACGGGGCGCAGCAGUGGGGAAUAUUGCACAAUGGGGGGAACCCUGAUGCAGCGACGCCGCGUAGGUGAAGAAGUAUUUCGGUAUGUAAAGCCCUAUCAGCAGGGAAGAAAAAUGACGGUACCUGACUAAGAAGCACCGGCUAAAUACGUGCCAGCAGCCGCGGUAAUACGUAUGGUGCAAGCGUUAUCCGGAUUUACUGGGUGUAAAGGGAGCGCAGGCGGCACGCUAAGCCUGAUGUGAAAACCCGCGGCCCAACCGCGGGAGUGCAUUGGGAACUGGCGGGCUGGAGUACCGGAG
rnacentral:rRNA from 1 species